UUCUUGCAUUAUUUGGGAAUUUUUUGAAAGUGACGUUAAAUUGUUUGUGCUAUUUUGACUAUGUUUGAGAUUGAAAGUUCGGGAUAUAGCAAAGAAUUCUGUAAAUUAGAUAUUUGCAUCGAAUCGAAGCAGCUUGUCCUUCGCCAUAAAUAUUGCUCCAAAGAAGCAAAAGCAAAGAACAAAAAUACCCAGUUACCGGAUGAAAGAUUUCUACAGAACUGCAUUACCAAUAACCAUGGGCAUUUUAGAAUGAGUGUUUUUUUAAGUUUCAGGGAAUAUCAAUUCGAAAUUUCCUGCUGCGAUUAUUUGAGUUCGCUAAAAGCAUUUUGAACAUGCCAUGAUAGUUAUGCGCACGCAUUCUGAAGUUCGCACCAAACUCUCGCAAGCAACGGAACGACAGCUAAUGACGUCGGAAUCCGAAUAAGAUCUUUCUUGUGGCGGUCAGACGAUUUGUAAAGCUUCAACUCGAUCGGUGAAGUGAAGAAAUAAACAAUUGCUUUGUUCUGAAACAAGACUAGAAAUAAAUUUGCUUUGAAAGAUUUUAUUCUACUCAA